rnacentral:rRNA from 1 species
UACGUAGGAGGCAAGCGUUAUCCGGAUUUACUGGGCGUAAAGCGCGUGUAGGCGGUCUGGUAAGUUGGAUGUGAAAGCUCCUGGCUCAACUGGGAGAGGUCGUUCAAGACUGCCAGACUAGAGGACGGAAGAGGAGAGUGGAAUUCCGGGUGUAGUGGUGAAAUGCGUAGAUAUCGGGAGGAACACCAGUGGCGAAAGCGGCUCUCUGGGCCGUUCCUGACGCUGAGACGCGAAAGCCAGGGGAGCGAAC